rnacentral:rRNA from 1 species
UAGGCUACGUUUUAAUAAGCUAUAUGUAAAUAUAGUGCUUAGGCGGAGCUUACUAACACACAAAUUAAAGAUUAAAUUAGUAUUGAAUGAAACUUUGUUUAUAUAUCGAUAAUGACGAUAUAUAUAUUAUGUCUUGACCAAUUACGUGCCAGCAGUCGCGGUAAUACGUAAGAGACUAGUGUUAUUCAUCUUAAUUAGGUUUAAAGGGUACUCAAACGGUCUGUUUUGCACAAAAGACUAGAGUUAUAUAGAAGAAGGUAGUACCUUAAGUGUAGAGAUAAAAUUUUGUUAUACUGGAGGGACUUAGAAAAGGCGUAGGCAACCUUCUAAGUAAUAACUGACGUUGAAGGACGAAGGCAUAGGUCACGAACAGGACUAGUAACCCAAGUAGUCUUUGCAGUCAAUGAUGAAUGCCAUAGGUUAGAUAAAAAUUUAGUCUAUAAAUGAAAAUGUAAGCAUUUCACCUCAAGAGUAAUGUGGCAACGCAGGAACUGAAAUCACUAGACCGUUUCUGACACCAGUAGUGAAGUAUGUUAUUUAAUUC